rnacentral:tRNA from 1 species
AUAGCUCAGUGAUAGAGCACAUGCUUAGCAUGCACAAGGUCCUGGGUUCAAUCCCCAGU